rnacentral:rRNA from 3 species
ACAUAAGUAACGAUAAAGCGGGUGAAAAGCCCGCUCGCCGGAAGACCAAGGGUUCCUGUCCAACGUUAAUCGGGGCAGGGUGAGUCGACCCCUAAGGCGAGGCCGAAAGGCGUAGUCGAUGGGAAACGGGUUAAUAUUCCCGUACUUGGUGUUACUGCGAAGGGGGGACGGAGAAGGCUAUGUUGGCCGGGCGACGGUUGUCCCGGUUUAAGCGUGUAGG